CGACAGUGUUCACACCAUGAACGUCCCCUUUGUUGUUUUGGUCCGUUUAAAUAUGUUAUAUUUAUUUCCAGCUUAAUAUUUUGCCCAACAAGCCCAAUUACACUUUUAGAAUUACCUGGCCCAUUAUGUAAUUUUUCAGCCCAUCCACUUUUUAUACUUGGAGUUGACCCAUUUGGCCCAUUUAUACUAGACGACUCAGUAGUGGGUUUCUCAUUCCUUUUCUGCCACCAAAUCCAUUUCUUUGAAAUCAUUGUUAUCUCCACAGCAGUUUCAUUGUCGUUGGCCUUUAACAUGAUUUUUCUACGAUUUUCUUCUCUUCUAACUGCUGCAAACCCUUCUCAUGUAGUUCGUAAUGGUUGCCCGCCUAGUAUUCUUUCCCUGGCAUCAUCCAAAUCGCGGUUGAGGCCUGCUAGAAACUCAAAAACCCUUUCGUUCUCUACCCCUUUUAGAGCGUACACAAUCACUGAUACAUUCCCAUUCUUCCUAAGAAUGAGGUCGAGUUCUUGCCACAAGUUUGUCAUCUCAAGGAAAUAAUCUAUAACCUCUCUCUCCCCCCUUGUUUGGUUUGCCACAAUCGAGUCUUUAUCUCGAAGAUUUGUGAGGCAUUUUCUCCAUCGAAGUAUGUCUCCUUCACUGCCUUCGCGACUUCCUCCACCAUCCGUAGGAAUAGGUAAGUUUUACCUAUGGACGAAAUCGUGGAAUUAACAAGCUAGGCGGUUAUCAAUGAAUUUUCCAAUUUCCAUUUUUGAAGAGUGGUCUUUGUUGGUUUCUUGGUCUCGCCAAUGAGGUAACCAAGCUUCCCUUUGCUUUCGAUCAUUAAUUUGAUAGAUUGGGCCCACUCUAAAAAAUUUCUUCCAUUCAGUUUUUUGAUAGUGAGCUGAAAGGAUGAAUUUCGGUGUGGUGGGAGCCCAUAGAGGAUCUGGCAUCAGUUUCAUUCUAAAAAACUUCUGUGGUGGUAGAAUUCUUACUGUUUUUUGUCAUGACUUUGAUACCAUGUAGAAGAUAAUGAACCACACUUUUUUCUAUGUGGAUUAAUUUUAUUAAUCCUUGGGUCCUGUAUUUAUAUGUAAACAAAUAGGAAAAAUAAGGAAAAUAAUCUCCUAAAUUAGGAGAGCUAAUGAGCCUACCCAACUAUGGAAAUAAUUAAAUAUGGUACAUCAAUUAUUC
rnacentral:lncRNA from 1 species